rnacentral:rRNA from 1 species
GAUGAACGCUAGCGGGAGGCCUAACACAUGCAAGCCGAGCGGUAUCGUUUCUUCGGAAAUGGGAGAGCGGCGUACGGGUGCGGAACACGUGUGCAACCUGCCUUUAUCUGGGGGAUAGCCUUUCGAAAGGAAGAUUAAUACUCCAUAAUAUAUUGAUUGGCAUCAAUUAAUAUUGAAAGCUCCGGCGGAUAGAGAUGGGCACGCGCAAGAUUAGCUAGUUGGUGAGGUAACGGCUCACCAAGGCGAUGAUCUUUAGGGGGCCUGAGAGGGUGAUCCCCCACACUGGUACUGAGACACGGACCAGACUCCUACGGGAGGUAGCAGUGAGGAAUAUUGGUCAAUGGGUGCAAGCCUGAACCAGCCAUCCCGCGUGAAGACGACUGCCCUAUGGGUUGUAAACUUCUUUUGUAUAGGGAUAAACCUACCCUCGUGAGGGUAGCUGAAGGUACUAUACGAAUAAGCACCGGCUAACUCCGUGCCAGCCGCCGCAGUAAAAC